rnacentral:rRNA from 1 species
AAUGAACGUUGGCGGCGUGGAUUAGGCAUGCAAGUCGUGCGGAAAGGCUCCUUCGGGAGUACUCGAGCGGCGAAAGGGAGAGUAACGCGUGGAUAUCUACCCCCUGGACUGGGAUAGCGGCGGGAAACUGCCGGUAAUACCAGAUAAUGUCUGCGGACCAAAGGUGUGAUUCCGCCGGGGGAUGAGUCCGCGUCCUAUUAGCUAGUUGGUGGGGUAAUGGCCCACCAAGGCAAAGAUGGGUACCGGGUGUGAGAGCAUGGCCCGGCUCACUGGGACUGAGACACUGCCCAGACACCUACGGGUGGCUGCAGUCGAGAAUCUUCGGCAAUGGGCGCAAGCCUGACCGAGCGACGCCGCGUGCGGGAUGAAGGCCUUCGGGUUGUAAACCGCUGUUAGAGGGGAGGAAAUGCAUGAGGGUUCUCUCUCAUGUUUGACCUAUCCUCAGAGGAAGUACGGGCUAAGUUCGUGCCAGCCGCCGCCGUAACAC